GGGCAGAGCUGCGGCCAUGGAGAAGUACCAAGUGCUGGGCCUCGUGGGGGAAGGCAGCUACGGCGUGGUGACCAAGUGCCGGAACAAGGAGAGCGGGCAGAUCGUCGCUGUCAAGAAGUUCUUGGAAAGCGAGGACGACGCGGCGGUGAAGAAGAUCGCCGUGAGGGAAAUCAAGCUGCUGAAGCAACUCAGGCAUGAGAAUCUCGUGAACCUGCUGGAAGUGUGUAAAAAGAAGAAACGGUGGUAUCUGGUGUUUGAAUUUGUGGAUCAUACCCUGCUUGAUGACCUUGAGGCAUUUCCAGACGGACUGGACUACAGCAGGGUUCGGAAAUAUUUAUUUCAGAUUAUUAGAGGAAUAGCAUUUUGUCACAGUCAUAACAUAAUACAUCGGGAUAUUAAGCCAGAGAACAUACUAGUUUCCCAGUCAGGAGUUGUAAAACUAUGUGACUUUGGAUUUGCCCGUACCUUAGCAGCUUCUGGGGAAGCUUACACAGACUAUGUGGCAACUCGAUGGUACAGAGCUCCAGAGCUGCUGGUGGGAGAUAUCAAGUAUGGCAAGGCUGUGGAUGUGUGGGCUAUUGGCACUCUGAUAACAGAAAUGCUUACAGGAGAGCCCCUCUUCCCUGGAGAUUCAGACAUUGACCAGCUCUACCAUAUCACCAAGUGCCUGGGUAAUUUAAUUCCAAAACACCAAGAGUUAUUCUAUAAAAAUCCCCUCUUUGCUGGCAUGAGGUUGCCUGAAGUGAAGGAGGUUGAAUCUCUGGACAAACGAUAUCCCAAACUCUCUGCUGCAGUGCUAGGUUUAGCCAAGAAGUGUUUGCAGAUUGAUCCAGACAAAAGACCAUCCUGUGCUGAACUCUUGCAGUGUGAUUUCUUUAACAAGGAUGGAUUUGCUGAAAGAUUUGCUCAGGAGCUUAAAAUAAAGAUUCAGAAAGAUGCCAGAGACCUUCAAUUACAAAAAAAAUCAAAAAUCAGCAAAAGGGACAAAGAUGAGGUUUUAGAAGAAAGAAAAAUGCUUGGUGUCCAGGAUUUCAGCAUUGACCUGAAGAGCAGAGAUGCAAAGCUAUUAAAGGCAAAGCGCUCUAAAGCUGAGGCAGAGAAAGCAGACCGAUCCCCCAACCUGAGUUGCCUCUACGACAGUCCGAUCAAUCCAUUUAAAAUAAGCCCUCAAACCAGCCUAAAAGAUUCCAGCAGCAGCUUGGACUAUGCCAAGAAUGCAGGCAUGGUUAUCCCUCCCAUCAACCAGAACUUUUCUCCCACUAUGGUUGGAAUGGGUCCUGUGCCUGGGAACCUUAAUUACAGAGUUGAUGAAAAGAGUAAAAAAUACUUGAACCCUUUUCUAAAGCAACGGAAGCACUCUCCAACAGGCCAUUACAGUGUAAGCUUGACAUCGGUUACUAAUGAAAAAAACAUACUUCAGGCAAAUAGGAAAAAAUGGGAAUUCUCCAAAACAGAUGUGCGUUUGCCAGAACUAAAUCACCUCCCAGAACUGAGAGGAGUGGAAGCGUGGCAUCCCCGGCUUCUGAAAAAGGAAAAUAAAACAGUUUCAGAGUCCCGUGUCCCUUCCCUUGCUGCUAUUGACCUGCAUAACCCAAGUUUGGCCUCACAGCAGCUGUCGGGGACCUUGACGCCUGAUGCAUCAGAAGCCGUCUUCCCCAGAGUUGAGCACUAGCCUUGUGGAGGAGAUCACACCUGCCUGUAAAAGGGAGAAAGAAGAAAACCAUUGGGAUGGGAAGCAAUCCUGAUAAUAGAAGUGAGGCAAAAAGACACCUUACUAAAGUUGUCUCAUCUGUGAAGCACAGAGGUGUAAGCGCACAGCUUUAGCAAGGUGGCUGAAACAGUGGGAACAAUUGACCUGAAUUUCCAGGUGCUAAAGCUGCAAAGUCUCUGCAAGAGGGAGGAGGAUCCCUUACUCUGGUGUUAGUGCAGCGGACUGCCACGGGAGGUGGCUCAGGUCCAGUCCGAGGACAGAGCUCGCACUGCCCUUGCUGCUGGAUUUCUUGCAUCCAAAACAGCUCCUGAAAUGUUGACUCUCUGGCCUAGGGCCAGGUCUUGUCGUGAGGUUGCUCAGGGAAAAACAGUGAUUAUUGGUGUUUGACGAGGGCAGAAGCUGGUUUGAAGGGUUUUGAAGGAAGCUGGGCCUUCUUUUGUCUAACUGCUGCCCUCUGGAGGGUUUUCUUUUUAAAUGAAUAGUGAAGUGAGUAGAUAGCUGCCAAAUUUGCCAUGUUUUGGUGAGCUACCUGAUCUGGAUUGGAAAACAACUUUGCAGUGACAAAAAUGCCAGUGAAGAAAAUGUUUGUGCAAGAAAUGCAACGUUUAAAUGCGUAAUGUUCCCAACUGUUCAUUUGAAACCCUUGCUAACGCUCAGCAGCACAUGUGACCGUGUGUUAGGUUUCCCUUCGCUCUGUGCUUUUGUCCCCCAGUCUUUGGGCAGUUGUCUUUCAGGUGUUUAACUGGGCCUGCUGUCUGGCUGCACUGGAUAAACAUCUGAAUUCUGUUAAUGGUGGAGGAGGAAUAUCAGUGUAAAAUACUGAGACGUGCAGCAGGUGGCAUGUGAAAUGGCUUCUGUGAGCACUCACUAACUCGCUUAAGUCAUCAGUCCUUUAGGUCCCUGAGUGGAGUGGGAUAUGUAAGCAUAAAACUUGACAGUGGCUUGUGGGGAGAGAAAGAUGGCAUCACUUGGGACUGUUACGAGACCAUUUUGCUUAACUGUCCUCAAGUUGGCUGUAGUCAGUUCUACGGUGUCCCUGCCUUGCUCACAACUCUUUCCCAGCAGCUCGAGGCUGAUGUCACAGCUCACACCCCUGUAUGGUAGAGUUAAUUUUGGAACUUGUCUUUCCACAAAAUACAGCCUUUCCCAUCAAUGUGACACGGCAGAACACAGUAUGAAUGUCAUCAUAUUUAGAGCUUCGAGGCAAUGCUGUUUUGACAUGUAUGCUAAAAUUUGUAAAUAAAAAAGAGUAUAUGAAUUCCAGA